GAUGACCUGUGGAUAGGGGUGAAAGGCCAAUCAAACUGAGAGAUAGCUCGUUCUCCCCGAAAUGUUUUUAGGAACAGCCUUGGCUAAAGAAGUAUGAUAGAGGUAGAGCUACUGAUUGGGCUAGGGGGCUUCAUCGCCUACCAAACCCUGACAAACUCCGAAUGCUAUCAUAUAUCGCCAGGAGUGAGGCUGUGGGCGCUAAGGUCCAUGGCCGAGAGGGAAAUAACCCAGACUAGCAACUAAGGUCCCCAAUACAUAGUUAAGUUGAUCAAACGAGGUGGGAUUUCUAUAACAGCCAGGAUGUUGGCUUGGAAGCAGCCAUCCAUUUAAAGAGUGCGUAACAGCUCACUGGUCGAGAGAUCCUGCACGGAAAAUAAUCGGGCAUCAAACUAUGAACCGAAGUUCUAGAUUCAAUAUUUAUUUAUUGAGUGGUAGGGGAGCAUUGAAAUCUGCAUCGAAGGUGUGGCGCGAGCCAUGCUGGAGCGAUUUCAAAAGAAAAUGUAGGUAUAAGUAACGAUAAAAGUAGUGAAAAACUACUUCGCCGAAAGUCUAAGGUUUCCUGAUCAACGUUAAUCGGAUCAGGGUUAGUCUGGUCCUUAGGAAAACCCGAAAGGGGCAUCUGAUGGAAAGCUAGUUAAUAUUCUAGCACCUACUAUGCAUUAAAAGUGACGCAGGGACGUGGUUGUUACGAACAGACGGAUGUUCGUUGAGUGGAACCUUCGGGGGAAGCGAAACAAUAAAAUCCCUGCCAAGAAAAGCGAGCAUAGCAGCCAGUACCGGAAUCCGACACAGGUAGACGGGAUGAGUAUUCUAAGGCGCUCGGGUGAGCCGCGGAGAAGGAACUAGGCAAAUUAAUGCUGUAACUUCGGGAUAAAGCAUACCGCAGUGAUGCGGUCACAGUAAAUAGGUACAACCAACUGUUUAACAAAAACACAGGGCCCUGCAAAAACGUAAGUUGACGUAUAGAGCCUGAAACCUGCCCGGUGCUGGAAGGUUAAGGAAGGGUGUUCGUCGCAAGACAAAGCUCCUGACUGAAGCCCCAGUAAACGGCGGCCGUAACUAUAACGGUCCUAAGGUAGCGAAAUUCCUUGUCGGGUAAGUUCCGACCUGCACGAAUGGUCUAAUGAGUUGAACACUGUCUCCUCCACGAGCCCGGUGAAAUUGUAGUAUCGGUGAAGAUGCCGGUUACCCGCCACGGGACGGAAAGACCCCGUGAACCUUCACUACAACUUUGCAUUGAUUUUGAACAACCGAUGUGUAGGAUAGUUGGGAGACUUUGAAGUGGCAUCGCCAGGUGUCAUGGAGUCAUCGUUGAAAUACCAACCUUCGUUUGUUUAGAACCUAAUCCCUAACGGGAGACAGUGCAUGGUGGGUAGUUUGACUGGGGUGGUCGCCUCCUAAAAAGUAACGGAGGCUCGCAAAGGUACCCUCAGUACGGUUGGUAAUCGUACGUAGAGCGCAUUAGUAAAAGGGUGCUUGACUGUGAGACAAACAAGUCGAGCAGGAGCGAAAGCUGGCUAAAGUGAUCCGGUGUUUCUGCAUGGAAGGGACAUCGCUCAAAGGAUAAAAGGUACUCCGGGGAUAACAGGCUGAUCUUACCCAAGAGCUCAUAUCGACGGUAAGGUUUGGCACCUCGAUGUCGGUUCGUCACAUCCUGGGGCUGGAGAAGGUCCCAAGGGUUCGGCUGUUCGCCGAUUAAAGUGGCACGUGAACUGGGUUCAGAACGUCGCAAGACAGUUCGGUCCCUAUCUGUGGUGGGCGUUAGUAAAUUGAGUGGACAUGCUCUUAGUACGAGAGGACCGGAGCGUACGUACCGCUGGUGUAUCUGUUAUGCCGCCAGGUGUAAUGCAGAGUAGCUAUGUACGGCCAGGAUAAACGCUGAAAGCAUCUAAGCGUGAAACCUUCCACAAGAUGAGUUUACUUUUAAGGGUCGUCAAAGACUAUGACGUUGAUAGGCUAUAGAUGUAAGGCUAGUAAUAGCGAAGUCGAGUAGUACUAAUUGCCCGUAAGCUUUAUUU
rnacentral:rRNA from 1 species